UACGUAGGGAGCAAGCGUUGUUCGGAUUUACUGGGCGUAAAGGGCGCGUAGGCGGCAAUUCAAGUCAUCUGUGAAAUCUCCGGGCUUAACUCGGAACGGUCAGAUGAUACUGUUUUGCUAGAGUGCAGAAGGGGCAAUCGGAAUUCUUGGUGUAGCGGUGAAAUGCGUAGAUAUCGAGAGGAACACCUGCGGCGAAGGCGGGUUGCUGGGCUAACACUGACGCUCAUGCACGAAAGCGUGGGGAGCAAACAGG
rnacentral:rRNA from 1 species